rnacentral:rRNA from 1 species
AGAGUUUGAUCAUGGCUCAGAAUGAACGUUGGCGGCGUGGAUUAGGCAUGCAAGUCGAGCGAGAAGGUUCCUUCGGGAACUGGAAAGCGGCGAACGGGGUAGUAAUGCGUAGGUGACGUGCCCUUGGGGCCGGAAUAGCUACGGGAAACUGUAGGUAAUGCCGGAUAAUCUCCCGAUUUUUGAAGAUAACGGGAGCAAUGGGUGUGAUUCCACCCAUGGAGCGGCCUGCGUGGUAUUAGCUUGUUGGCGAGGUAACGGCUCACCAAGGCUAAGAUGGCUAGCGGGUGUGAGAGCACGACCCGCGCCACUGGCACUGAGACACUGGCCAGACACCUACGGGUGGCUGCAGUCGAGGAUCUUCGGCAAUGGGCGCAAGCCUGACCGAGCGACGCCGCGUGUGGGAUGAAGGCGGUUCGGGUUGUAAACCACUGUCGAGGGGGAGGAAGCCGAAAGGUGACCUAUCCCUGAGAAGC